rnacentral:rRNA from 1 species
CGGGUGAGUAACGCGUGGGUAACCUGCCUUGUACAGGGGGAUAACAGUUGGAAACGGCUGCUAAUACCGCAUAAGCCCACGGCUCGGCAUCGAGCAGAGGGAAAAGGAGCAAUCCGCUUUGAGAUGGCCUCGCGUCCGAUUAGCUGGUUGGUGAGGUAAUGGCCCACCAAGGCGACGAUCGGUAGCCGGACUGAGAGGUUGAACGGCCACAUUGGGACUGAGACACGGCCCAG